AUGCCAAGGGCCGGCCCUGCCCCACCCCAUUGCAGUGGGUCGACUGAAGAUCGUCGAGCUGGCCAAUGGAGCAAUGUUAUCCUCCUUGGAGAAACAUAAAGGAAGGGGAAAGAGGGAGAAAAGGAAAAAUCCCAAUUACGAAGCUGAGGAAGACGAAAGUGUCAUGGUAUAAUUUUAGUUUUCUCUGUGAAGGCUAUCCCCCUACACCUUAACUAAGACCCCACGGCCGUUUAUUUCUUGGACUUUUGUGAUUUGAAAGUAACUUGUGUGCUACUCAAAACAAGAGCAGCUUAUUUUAUAUUAGCUGUCAGCAUUGUAGGGCUCAAAUAUUGAUAAGCGCAUUCAUUUUGAACUGUAAUAAGGCUACUAGCUGUACAUAUAUCUCACAUUAAUCAACACCUCUGUAGCCAUUUAGAAUUGUGUAUUCCCCCAGGCCAUGGGGUAAUUUGUUAUAAUAUCUAAAUUGGAAAUAGAAACCUAUUUCAACCAGGCAUUUCUUCAAAUUGUUGUGAUAUCAUUUUUGUUAUUGAGAAUCAUGAUUUUGAACUUAGUAUCGCACCAAAGGAGAAAUAAUCUUGUAUUGUUACAACAUACAUUUCUACAAGAGAUUAUAAUUGACUAUAUUCAAUGACUAUUUUAUUUUUUUCAUCAAGGAGGACAUACCAAAGAAGCAAAAGCAGAAGAAGCAUAAUUCGGAACAGAAGCAGCAACAAAAUCUAUUGAGGAACAUAUCGGAGAAAAGCUGCCAAGUCUUUUGGAUCAGGUGAGGGAGUUGAAGGACAAAGCACUCCAACCCUGUAACAUUUAGGACGAGAGCCAGGACAAUGCAACUAUGGGUAUGCUUUGCAGAUCUUGUAAAACUGACAAUAUUAAUGACAUUGGAGCAUUUAUAAUUGACUUAAUUAAAUGAAAUAACUAUGACAUUUCUAUGAUAUCUUCUUUACCAAGAGAAAGCUGGAACCUCUGGUGAAGUAACAAAAACUGAGCACCAGGGAGCUGGUGACAUGGUAUGAUCAUGUUCAAUAACCCCACUUACAUUAAUUUCCUUGCCAGUCAUGUUGGGUGAAAUUUUGCAUGCAUAAUUCAAUCAUUAAUACAUUUAUAUGCUUUUCAUGCUAGCCUAAAUAGUGCUCAAAAGUCAAACCCAUUAUUGACUGCAAGUAUAAAAUAUAAUGUAUAUAAAAUGAAAUAGAUUCAUAGAUUUUCUCCAUUCAAGUAUGUGAUACGGUUAUAUCAAAUUGUAAGCUGAGAGUAUUGUCACUCACACCCCUACCAGUGUGUCUGAUUUCUACUAGGUGGAGUUGGCUGAAGGCAAGGACCCAAAAAAAAAGGUCACAGAACUGAUGUCUGUCUUUUUAACAAGACAAUUGAUGGCGUCCUCUUCUCUCUCGGGAAGCAGACUAAUGCGUAGAUGCUAAAAAGCAGCUGGACCCCAACAUCGUUGCGGCGAUUGCCAAAUAUGUGCAGGAGAAGCAUUCAGACUUCACCUUCAAGGACGUGACGAAUGUGAUGAGAACCAAACUCAAUAAUGAAAGCAAAAAUCGGGCCAUAAAAACAGAGGGAACCUUUUCUGGAGCUGAGCUGCUUGGGGAUUCCCAUGGAGACUAAAGUGUUGCUGUUACUGUUACUUUAGAGUUCCCAGUUGGUUUUCCUUCACUCCAGUUGUUCUGCUACCUGGAAAACAGUUUUGUUUCUGGGCCUGAAAUUGUUCCUGUACAUUUAGAUACAUAUAUAUUUUACAUUUUUUACAUUUAAGUUAUUUUAAAUAAUUUUUGAUAAUAAA